AUGAGGUCAUGUAAGCAGCCAGUGGAGAAGUCCAUGUGGAAAAGUCCAUGUAGUGAGAAACUGAGGCCUCCUGCCGACAGCCAGCAUGAACUCAUUAUGCAUAUGAGAGUGAAACAUCAUGGAAGUGGAUCCUCUAGCCCCAGAUGAAAUGUUGAGCUGGUUGGCUCCUGUCACAUGGUAUAGAGCAGAGUCCAUUUGCAAUAUACACAAGAAGAGAAGCAUAACAUCAACCUGGUGACAAAUAGAGAUUGUGUGUUUACUACAAUCUGAAGAAACUUUGUCCUAUGAGUAUAUUAGAGUCUAAUGAGGGCAGUAAAUAAAUAGCAAUACUCAAAACAGCCACAUGGUCCUGAAGGAUGACUGAAUGAGGAGUAUAACUAUAGAUACCUAAUGGACACUGGGAGACAAUGCUCUACUUUAAUACUGAUUCCACCAGGUGAAAUUCACUGGGUUGAGUAUUGUCUUGCGUCUUUUGAUCCCUUCAGCUGUGUUGAUCAAAGUUCUUGUAUGUGGAAGUGUGUUGCAAACACACAAAGAAUGACAACUGCUGCCAUAGCAGGUUUUUGGCCAGCUGAGUGCUAGGGUACCUUACUAGAGGAAGUCAAAGCUCAAAUUGUUUUUGUUUUUUUUGUUUUUGUUUUUUGGAGACAGGGUCUCACUCUGUUGCCCAGGUUGGAGUGAAGUGACACAAUCAUGACUCACUGCAGCCUCAACCUCCUGGGCUCAAGCAAUCCUCCCACCUCAGUUCCUGAGUAGCUGGAACUACAGGCACAUGCUACCAUGCCCGGCUAAUUUUUGAAAUUUUUUGUAGAGAUAAGGGUCUCACUAUACUGCCCAGGCUGGUCUCAAACUCCUGGGCUCAAGCGAUUCUCCUGCCUCAGCUUCCUAAAGUGUUGGGAUUACAGGUGUGAGCCACUGUGCCCAGCCCAAAGCUCAAGUUCUAAUGAUGGUAAGCAUGCUGAGUUGUGGUUCUGGUUAAAGGAAAAAGUCCUGACCUAAUCCAUCUACAGAAUAAAAAAGUUCUUUUUAAAUGAUGGUGGGUGACUUCUUGCAGUAGGCUAAAGAACUGCCCAGGUGGAAGUCCGGUCUGCGAAUUUUGGGCAUAGGUAUGUAUUUAGACUGCCUGGAAUGGCAGGGAAUAAAAAAUAUAUAGAGUAAGGGGUAGAACUGGGCUAGAUCCACAAUGGUAAAAAGUGUUUGCCAAAUAAGAAUGGGAAAGGGAAGGGGAAAGACGUGAAAACAUAGGUAUAAAGAUGCAGAAAUGUUUUUUAAAAAUUCCCUUGAUUUCUUCAUUUGACACUGAUUAAAAGGGCUGACAACGGGAUAAAAUCCCUUUAACAUGGCAUACCAAGCACUUUAACUUUUCAACUUUCCCACUUUAUCCUCAACCACAUACUCCCCUACUUGAAUGUGAUGCUCCCACAACACUGCACUCCAGGUAUGCUCUUCUACCCCUGCCUUUGCACAAAUCUGCCAUUUUCAUCUAGUAAAAAACCAAUAAUUCACUCUCUGCAAAAUCAAUCCUGGUUUUCCUCUGAUUUAGCUUGUUCCUCUAGGCCCCACAUGCCUUUUACUAGCAUGUUUUUUGUACUGUGACUUAUUCUUCACAGUGAUGAUUUCUUCCCUACUGGACUAAUCAUUGAGACAGUGAGUUCAUCAUUACUGGUCUUUGUACACUCAGAGCCUGGUAACAUUAUGGUCUUGUAAUGUCUGUUGAAUGAAAAAUGCAUGAAUAAAUGAACAUGCCUCUAUCUGGGAUAAUAGCAUGCUUCACCUAAAGAAAGGAAACUCAAACAAAUAACCCUUUGAGGAGUCAGAGAGAUCAAAUGGAAAAUUUAUCAGACAGAGAACUAGAAGCCCUGGAUUCCACUCCUUACUUUAUCACUAGGCAAAAUCAAGUCAAGGCCAACAGAUGCUGACCCCUCUGAGCUGAAGCUGUGGCUGUGACAGACACCCAGGAAGGAAUGGCUCCUGUGCACAAAGAGCAGAAGUGAGAGUGGUCAAU